rnacentral:rRNA from 1 species
UAGGGAAUCUCUCGGCAAUGGACGGAAGUCUGACCGAGCAACGCCGCGUGAGUGAAGAAGGUUUUCGGAUCGUAAAGCUCUGUUGUAAGAGAAGAACGAGUGUGAGAGUGGAAAGUUCACACUGUGACGGUAUCUUACCAGAAAGGGACGGCUAACUACGUGCCAGCAGCCGCGGUAAUACGUAGGUCCCGAGCGUUGUCCGGAUUUAUUGGGCGUAAAGCGAGCGCAGGCGGUUAGAUAAGUCUGAAGUUAAAGGCUGUGGCUUAACCAUAGUACGCUUUGGAAACUGUUUAACUUGAGUGCAAGAGGGGAGAGUGGAAUUCCAUGUGUAGCGGUGAAAUGCGUAGAUAUAUGGAGGAACACCGGUGGCGAAAGCGGCUCUCUGGCUUGUAACUGACGCUGAGGCUCGAAAGCGUGGGGAGCAAACAGGAUUAGAUACCCUGGUAGUCCACGCCGUAAACGAUGAGUGCUAGGUGUUAGACCCUUUCCGGGGUUUAGUGCCGUAGCUAACGCAUUAAGCACUCCGCCUGGGGAGUACGACCGCAAGGUUG